CCUACGGGAGGCAGCAGUGAGGAAUAUUGGUCAAUGGCCGGGAGGCUGAACCAGCCAAGUCGCGUGAGGGAAGACGGCCCUACGGGUUGUAAACCUCUUUUGUCAGGGAGCAAGGUGCAGGUCGGGACCUGCUGUGAGAGUACCUGAAGAAAAAGCAUCGGCUAACUCCGUGCCAGCAGCCGCGGUAAUACGGAGGAUGCGAGCGUUAUCCGGAUUUAUGGGGUGUAAAGGGUGCGCAGGCGGAGGCACAAGUCAGCGGUAAAAUCGCGGGGCUCAACCCCGCUCCGCCGUUGAAACUGUGUGCCUUGAGUGCGCGAAGGGUAGGCGGAAUGCGUGGUGUAGCGGUGAAAUGCAUAGAUAUCACGCAGAACCCCGAUUGCGAAGGCAGCAUACCGGCGCCCUACUGACGCUGAGGCACGAAAGUGCGGGUAUCGAACAGGAUUAGAUACCCGUGUAGUC
rnacentral:rRNA from 1 species